AGCAGCACGGGAGAGCGACCCGUUAGCUGGCAGACAAUCCAGUCCCCAUCCCACGGCAACUGUGGAUGGGACUGGCUUUCUGCGCUCUUCAGAUCUCUGAAAAGAGUUGGUGCAUUCGCACUAAAUCUUUGUAUUGCGACGAACUUGUUUGUAGCGGAUACCGCAUCGCUCGGGGGGAACGCUGUUCUCCUCGCGGUUCCGUCGCCCCA
rnacentral:ncRNA from 2 species